rnacentral:rRNA from 1 species
UACGUAGGGCGCAAGCGUUAUCCGGAAUUAUUGGGCGUAAAGAGCUCGUAGGCGGCUUGUCACGUCGGAUGUGAAAGCCCGAGGCUUAACCUCGGGUCUGCAUUCGAUACGGGCUAGCUAGAGUGUGGUAGGGGAGAUCGGAAUUCCUGGUGUAGCGGUGAAAUGCGCAGAUAUCAGGAGGAACACCGGUGGCGAAGGCGGAUCUCUGGGCCAUUACUGACGCUGAGGAGCGAAAGCGUGGGGAGCGAACAGG